UACGUAGGGGGCAAGCGUUGUCCGGAAUCAUUGGGCGUAAAGCGCGCGUAGGCGGCCCGGUAAGUCCGCUCUGAAAGUCCAGGGCUCAACCCUGGAAAGCGGGUGGAUACUGCCGGGCUAGAAUCCGGAAGAGGCGAGUGGAAUUCCUGGUGUAGCGGUGGAAUGCGCAGAUAUCGGGAGGAACAUCUGUGGCGAAGGCGGCCACCUGGACCAGCACUGACACUGAGGCACGAAAGCGUGGGGAGCAAACAGG
rnacentral:rRNA from 1 species